rnacentral:tRNA from 1 species
GCCCGGGUGGUGAAAUGGUAGACACAGCGGACUUAAAAUCCGCGGCCUUGAACAAAGGCGUGCCGGUUCGAGUCCGGCCCUGGGCA